GUCAUUGUAGUAUAGUGGUGAGUAUCCUCCCUUGUCACGCGUGAGACCCGGGUUCGAUCCCCGGCAACGGCA
rnacentral:tRNA from 1 species